UAAUAUUAAAUCUUCAAGUUAUAAAUUACAUACAAUGAUGAGUCUUUAUAAUAACUUGGGGCUCUAUUCAAUAGAUUAAGAGCUUCUAAUAUGAGAGAUAAGCAAAUCUAAAAUAUAAAUCAAGUUCUUUCUACCUAUCAAAAAAUUAAAUGCUUCUUUCUGUGACAAUGUGACAACUAUGUUUUAGCUUGGACAUGCCAUACACAAUUACAAAUUAAGCAUACAGUUCAACUUGCUCUUAAGCAAAUUUGAAAGAUGCCCACCUUUAUAGUUUGUACAUUUAUCCCUGCACACACAAAUGUAAUAGCCCACAAAUCAAAUACUUUGGAAGUCCAGGAGAGUCAAACUUAAGUUUUGGUUUUUAAGCAAAGUCACCCAACAGUUCUACCUUUGUGGGCUUUUAAAAAGGAGCAUAAUUGUACCUCAUGAACAAGCUCACAUGUUGCCCUCACAAAGAAAAGUAACUGCUACCCAAGCCAUUGAAGUGGAUAUGGCCUAUAAGUAUGGGAUUCAAUAGAAACUUUAUGAGUAGUCAAGUAGAGCCGUAGAGGGUCGAGAAAAUUUGGGUUAUCUUUUAUUAGAUUAUAACAACUAUUUGUGUUCAAGGAGGAGAAAUGCUAUGACAGAGGGAAAUGCACGAGGCUUACUGAUUAAUUUUCAGAAGCAACAAGAUAAGAACCCUUCAUUCCUUUAUUCGAUGCAAAGGAUAUUGAAGAUGCAAAUGUACUUAAAGAUAAAGAUGGCAAUAAUGAAUUAAUUAUUGGAGAUAAUUUGAACAACCUAAUUUAAAUGGGCCGAAGAAAAAGGAUCAUGCUCAUGGUGGUAAACAUCAGAUCAAGAGUUGUCAUGAGAAAAGUUCAAAGAAAGAAAAAGGUGGAAGUAACCAGUUGUCUACCCCAAAUAUUGUUCCUGGCAACUAGGUUUUGCUUUAGCCAUCCCUAAAUACCAUUCCUCUUGCCUAUAUAGUUAGUUGCUCAUGUAGUGGCUACAUUAAUUUUUUUUUACUUUAAUGUGCAGAGUUCAAGUUCCCAGCCAUCAAAUUUGGUUCAUUCCUUGUCAUUUCAGCAUCCGCUAUAUUACCAUUGGCAAGCACCCUUCCUCAAUCCACAAAUGGAAUCUUGAAGGUGAUUCGCUAGAUUGAGAAAUGCACCAGGUUGCAGGAGCUCUCAAAAGUUUACUAUGCUACUAUUGGACCCUUGGAAUGGUACGUCAGGGAAAUCUUGGACUGUGCCCUGCCAAAACCUACUACACCAUGUCUAAUAAAUAACUCUUUUUUUAUUCCAACUGGUCAAUUGCAGUUUUGGCCUUAGGGAAUGCAAGAAUCAGGUUUGGCCGCCUUAGGGAAUGCAAGAAUCAAGUUUGGCCCCAGGAAAAAAAAAAGUUGAAGUAUGGACUAUGGAAUAGACUUGUCAUGAGUCAUGACUAUGACAUUAUUUUUGCCUUAUAUUGUUGCUAUUGUAUAAUCAAAUCAUUGAGCAAGUUGCAUCUUUAUGUCGUAGUUAAUCUUGUCUUGAUGAAUAUAUAAAAUGUAUAAUUUUUUAUUUUU